rnacentral:tRNA from 1 species
GUCGCUUUAGCUCACUUGGGAGAGCGCCAGACUGAAGUCCACUUCGGUUCAAAGCAAUCUGUGCGGUAUCUGGAGGUACUGUGUUCGAUCCACAGAAGCGACA